rnacentral:sRNA from 1 species
CCAUGGUUUGGAACCACGGUUGACCAUGGUUCGAACCACGGUUGACCAUGGUUGACCAUGGUUCUAACAAUGGUCAACCAUGGUCAUUAAAACCAUGGU